rnacentral:rRNA from 1 species
GGUCGUGCACGCUCAAAGUGCUCUCACACAUCCAUCUCACCCCUUUGUGCAUCACCGCGUGGGCCUCCCCUUUUGACUUGGUUUCUGAAGGGGGGUGUUCACGUUUUUACACACAUACACACAAGUAUAGAAUGUUUUUACUUUUUGCAAUGACAUGCAAUACAAUACAACUUUCAACAACGGAUCUCUUGGCUCUCGCAUCGAUGAAGAACGCAGCGAAAUGCGAUACGUAAUGUGAAUUGCAGAAUUCAGUGAAUCAUCGAAUCUUUGAACGCACCUUGCGCCCCUUGGCAUUCCGAGGGGCACACCCGUUUGAGUGUCGUGACAUCCUCAACCUUCUUGGUCUUUUUUGACUUUAGAAGGCUUGGACUUUGGGGGUUUUUGCUGGCCUUUAUUUUUAAAAGCCAGCUCCUCCUAAAUGCAUUAGUAGGGUCUACAUUGUCGAUCCUCGACGUUGAUAAGAUGCUUCUACGUCUUGGUUUACCUUUUGUAGCCUGCUUCUAACCGUCUCAUUGGAGACAAAGCGGCUCAAGUUUUCACUUGAAC